UACGUAGGGCGCAAGCGUUGUCCGGAAUCAUUGGGCGUAAAGAACUCGUAGGCGGUUUGUCGCGUCUGCUGUGAAAUCUGGAGGCUCAACCUCCAGCCUGCAGUGGGUACGGGCAGACUAGAGUGCGGUAGGGGAGAUUGGAACUCCUGGUGUAGCGGUGGAAUGCGCAGAUAUCAGGAAGAACACCGAUGGCGAAGGCAGAUCUCUGGGCCGUAACUGACGCUGAGGAGCGAAAGCAUGGGGAGCGAACAGG
rnacentral:rRNA from 1 species